AAGUCGUAACAAGGUAACCGUAGGUGAACCUGCGGUUGGAUCAUUAACAAUGGUUUUCAAACCUUUAUUCUGUGCACUGUAUUGUUCUUGGUGUUUUCCGCCUCCUUCUUUGGAGAGGAGCGGAGGCACCGACAUUUUUAAACCAUGUAUUGUAUCGAGUCUUGAAUUUGUAUUAAAAUGAAAAACUUUUGACAACGGAUCUCUUGGCUCUC
rnacentral:misc_RNA from 1 species